AUUGAACGCUGGCGGCAGGCUUAACACAUGCAAGUCGAGCGGGGUGAUGGUGCUUGCACUAUCACUUAGCGGCGGACGGGUGAGUAAUGCUUAGGAAUCUGCCUAUUAGUGGGGGACAACAUCUCGAAAGGGAUGCUAAUACCGCAUACGUCCUACGGGAGAAAGCAGGGGAUCACUUGUGACCUUGCGCUAAUAGAUGAGCCUAAGUCGGAUUAGCUAGUUGGGGGGGUAAAGGCCUACCAAGGCGACGAUCUGUAGCGGGUCUGAGAGGAUGAUCGGCCAAACUGGGACGGAGACACGGCCCAGACUCCUACGGGAGGCAGCAGUGGGGAAUAUUGGACAAUGGGGGGAACCCUGAUCCAGCCAUGCCGCGUGUGUGAAGAAGGCCUUAUGGUUGUAAAGCACUUUAAGCGAGGAGGAGGCUCUUUUGGUUAAUACCCAAGAUGAGUGGACGUUACUCGCAGAAUAAGCACCGGCUAACUCUGUGCCAGCCGCCGCCGUAA
rnacentral:rRNA from 1 species